UGGGGAAUCUUCCGCAAUGGACGAAAGUCUGACGGAGCAACGCCGCGUGUAUGAUGAAGGUCUUCGGAUUGUAAAGUACUGUCAUUGGGGAAGAACGGUUUUCUUGAAAGAUUGAGAAGACAUGACGGUACCCAAGGAGGAAGCCCCGGCUAACUACGUGCCAGCAGCCGCGGUAAUACGUAGGGGGCAAGCGUUGUCCGGAAUUAUUGGGCGUAAAGGGCGCGUAGGCGGGCUUUUAAGUCCGGUGUGAAAGAUCAGGGCUCAACCCUGAGAGUGCAUCGGAAACUGGAGGCCUUGAGGACAGGAGAGGAAAGUGGAAUUCCACGUGUAGCGGUGAAAUGCGUAGAUAUGUGGAGGAACACCAGUGGCGAAGGCGACUUUCUGGACUGUAACUGACGCUGAGGCGCGAAAGCGUGGGGAGCAAACAGGAUUAGAUACCCUGGUAGUCCACGCCGUAAACGAUGAGUGCUAGGUGUAGAGGGUAUCGACCCCUUCUGUGCCGCAGUUAACACAAUAAGCACUCCGCCUGGGGAGUACGGCCGCAAGGCUGAAACUCAAAUG
rnacentral:rRNA from 1 species